GAUGAACGCUAGCUACAGGCUUAACACAUGCAAGUCGAGGGGCAUCACAGUGUAGCAAUACACGGGUGGCGACCGGCGCACGGGUGCGUAACACGUAUCCAAUCUGCCCGUUACUCGGGGAUAGCCUUCUGAAAGGAAGAUUAAUACCCGAUGGCAUGUAUUUCCGGCAUCGCAGAUACAUUAAAGAUUAAUCUGUAACGGAUGAGGAUGCGUACGAUAAGCUGGUUGGCGGGGUACCGGCCCACCAAGGCGACGAUCGUUAGGGGUUCUGAGAGGAAGGUCCCCCACACUGGAACUGAGACACGGUCCAGACUCCUACGGGAGGCAGCAGUGAGGAAUAUUGGUCAAUGGGCGCGAGCCUGAACCAGCCAAGUAGCGUGAAGGAUGACUGCCCUACGGGUUGUAGACUUCUUUUGUUUGGGAAUAAAUGAUACUACUUGUAGUAUUUUGCAUGUACCUUACGAAUAAGCAUCGGCUAAUUCCGUGCCAGCAGCCGCCGUAAGAC
rnacentral:rRNA from 1 species